rnacentral:lncRNA from 1 species
CGCAUGCCAGAGAGAACAACAAUCAAACCCUUCAGGUUGCAAACACACCUGUGCGUGCCCGGGACAUAUUUCAGCGUCAACAUAGCACCCCUGCAGCUUUUAACCAGGGGUCCCAUGUGGCCGAUCAAAGGUCAGUACAGGCUGAGCGAAAGCAAAGGCUUCAGAAGUCAUUUUCCCUGGAUGAAACCUCCAGCAAAACCCAGAUGGCUUCCUGCAUCAUAACAAAUGUCCUAUCAAAAAAAAUGCAACAUGAACAGAAUCUUCGCACCUUGGAUGUUUCUGAUAAAGCUUUUGCUUCUAUCAAAGUGAACAACAGGCCUACUACCACUGAGGAAUGCAUCUAUUUGUCUGGCAAGGAGAUAUAUGCUGAAACUACCAAACUAAAUCAAAGUGCAACUCUUAAGAGGGAGGCCCAGAGAGAGUGCAGCCCUGUUCAAAAGCACUGCAGUGUUAACUCAAAAACACAACCCAAGCUGCUGAGCAAACAUGGCUUCAAUCCUCUUUUAAGCACAACUGGCAGGUCUGAAGCUCAAGGCAGUGGCACUGAAAUAACCGACCCUUCAGAGAAUGAGAAAGCAGAGAAGUUGAGCCCAAGAGAGGAGGUGUUGCGGCUGCCUAACCUGAGCCCUGGAGGGAAGCUAUCUUGUGACUCAGCAAAGGGCAGAGCAUGGAAUUCGAGUGCAGCAACAAACGUAGCCAUCAGCACACAGACCUCUGUGAAAACCACACCUGAAGAAUGUCAUACAGGGCAAGGAAUCCAUAAACAACACAAUAUGACCCUAACCAAUGUGCUGGAAAAGCAGGAGCAACAGGCUGGUACCAUGGAAAGUACACUCAGUCCUACCAAUAUUGCAUGCCUAAUCUCUGAUUUGGAAGCAAAAGCAGUGGAUAACACAAUCCCGCAAGCUGAUGAGAGCAGUGUUGGAAAGGAGCAAGAGAGUGACAGAGAGGAAGUCAAGUCACCAGGAGAGUCUGCAAUCCUAGGUAUGCAAAGCCAAGGCAAAUUGAAAGCCAUGGCCCCUGUGCAUGUAGUAAGAGACAUGAGAAGCCUAGUGAAAAACACAUACAACAUGUCCUUCAAAGGUGCAGGGGAAUCAGCC